UUUAAUGAUGUUGACAAAUUUAGUCUUUAUAUAAUUGAUGAGAUUUUUCUUUAAGACAAUAAUUCUUAAACAAAAACAAAAAUUGCCAUUGAAAUACUGAAAUACGUAUCUAGAUUUAUAUUUUAAGAUAAAGAUGUUCUUCUUUUAUUAGCUUACAAGAACCGAAGGUUCAGGGUGAGCUAUUGGUAUCAAAGGAGGGUGCUCCGGUGUCUGUCGUCAUGCGACAACAAUCGUCUUCUUCUCCGAAACUGCUUGGCAGAUUUACUUCAAAUUUUGUCUGUAGCAUCCUUGUGACGGUUACACUUAAAUUUGCUCAUGUCAUUUCAAUUGGCCCCUUUUAGGGGUCAACAGAGCUAAAAAUAGAAAAACCUUUAAACAUCUUCUACUACAGAACUAAUUGAUGGAUGAUCACCAAACUUUGUCUGUAGCAUUCUUGGGUAGUCUUUUAUCAAGUUUGUUCAUAUUAAUUUCAUUGGCCACUUUUAGGGGCCGCUAAAGCUAAAAAUAGAUAUACCUUUAAACGUCUAUUUCUACAGAACUAAUUGAUGGAUGAUCACUUAACUUUGUCUGUGGCAUACUUAGGUACUCUUUUAUCAAAUUUGCUCAUUUUAAUUUGAUAAGCCCCUGAAAGUGGCCACUAAAGCCAAAAAUUUAAAAUUCUUUGAACAUCAUUUCCUACUGAAAUAAUUGAUAGAUGAUCACCAAACUUUGUAGCAUUCUUAGGUAGUCUUUUAUCAAGUUUGGCUCAGUUUGCUCAUAUUAAUUUGAUUGGCCCCGUUUAAAUGCCCCAGGUCAUGGCAUUUCUUCAAAUUAUUGUUUAAACAUAUUCUUUGCUCAAAUUUAAUACAAUGGAUAAUUUCCAACACUGAAAAGCAGUUCUUUCUGGUUAGCGACUCAGGGCCAUCAUGGCCCUGCCAUCAUGGCCCUCUUGUCUAUAUCUGAUCAUAAAAGGUCUUGCUAAAUAUGUUAACUCUUAACUGAUUUUCGUGUCGCCUCUACGGAGUAGUGGCGACAUAUAGGGAUCACUUCUCCGUCGUCUGUCUGUCCGUCACAAAACUUGUCCAGACUACUCCUCAUAAACUACUGGUGCAAUUUCAUCCAAACUUUACAGGAAUGAUCAGUACCAAGCCUAGUUGUACAUAUUGUCAGCAUUUACAGGUUCAAUGAUUAUUGUAAGAGUUAUGGCCCUUUAAUAAUUUUUAUUUUUAAAGUUUGUCCGGACUUCUUCUCUUAUACCACUAAUGCAAUUAUUAUUUCAAUGAAACUUUACAGGAUUGAUCUGUAGCUCAAGUCCUUGCACAUAUUGCACAAUUUUCGGGUUGAAUGAUUUUUGGCCGAGUUAUGGCCCUUUGAUAAAAAGGUGUUUUUUCUGUGUGUUGCCAGAUACACAAAAGCUUGUCCGGACUACUCCUCAUAAACUACUGGUGCAAUUUUAUCCAAACUUUACAGGAAUGAUCAGUACCAAGUCUAGUUGUGCACUGUCUGUCUGUCUGUCUGUCCGUCUGUCACAAAACUUGUCCCCAC